GAUGGGUUUGAAGAGACAUCUAACUACUGCAGAGAUUGUAGACCAGGUUGUAUUUGCAGAACGUCUUGUAACAAGCAAAGUUGGUUCGAUCACAAAUGUUGUAUUUAUGGGAAUGGGAGAACCACUUCAGAAUUGAAAAUGUCAUAAAAGCUGCCGAUAUUAUGGUGCAUGAGCAUGGUCUUCAUUUUAGUUCUCGCAAGGUAACUGUUUCUACAAGCGGGCUUGUCCCCCAGUUGAAACGUUUCCUUCGUGAAUCCAAUUGUGCUUUAGCUGUUAGUCUGAAUGCGACAACUGAUGAGGUAAGAAACUGGAUCAUGCCAAUUAACCGGAAAUACAAUUUAAGCUUGCUUCUUGACACCCUUCGGAAGGAACUCCAAUCCAGAAAGAAUUACAAAGUUCUGUUCGAGUAUGUGAUGCUUGCAGGAGUAAAUGACAGGAGACGGUGAGGGUAAAUGCUGGUUUUGGGACUGGAAGAGUUGUAAGGUUUUCUGGACAAGUGUCAUGAGGGUGUGUGCAUGGGUGCGAGUGGCAUCCAUUGGAGCAAAGCAAAGUGGCAACUUGCAGUUGGGAUGGCUUGAUCAAGUACUGUAUCUGUAGAUUCUGACAACAAGGUAAUGAGGUUGGGCUUGGAAAAAUUGAAUCCAAAAAUCAACGGCCCAUCAGACCAAAAUGGAAAAAUUGAAUGAGGUUGAGCUUGGAAAAUUUGAAUGGAAGAAGCAAAUCAACGGCCCAUAUAAAGUCAUGUUAACUUAUAAUCUUAGUUGUGGCCAUAUGCAAACUAGACUGGAAAAUGACAGUCGCGCGUCGCUCUCAUAAGAAAAAACUAAAAAUAUGAGAUUUAGUUGAAGCGCUACUGUAGUAAUACGCCACUACUCAAAAGUAACAAAGAAAUGACAGUCGCGUGUCGCUGUCAUCAGAAAAAACUAAGCGCUACUACUCAGCUCUCGCUCUCUAGUCAUUGCAGCUGCUCUCCUAUCUUCCUACUCUUCCGUUCUCUAACAAGCACGAAGAAUUUAAAAGAAUGCCAAGCGAAAGGGGAAAUUUAAAAGCCUUCUAACCCUUGUAUGUUUCUGUAUUCGUUUUGCUGUAGCUAUUGUAAUGGAUUUUUUUUUUAAGUGUCUCUAGUCUAGCUCUAUUAGAUAUUUGAAGGAGAGUUAUUACAUCCUUGAAGUAUUAAUCUCUAUUUUUCAAAGAUCUUGGUUUGAGUGAGAGAAAAUAGAUUUUUAGUUAGCCAGAUGUGAGAGAAACAGCAGUAGGAAUCUGAUUGGAAAGGCAAUCGGAAGACAGCAAUGAUAGCCUUUUUUUUUUCCAAAGAAUAAUAUUGUCCCAUAUUGCCUGUGUAAAAGUCUUGAAAUCUUUUUUUAUUA